GCUGAAAUAGCUCAGUUGGGGGAGCGUUAGACUGAAGAUCUAAUGUACUGUUGAAUCCUAUUGGCU
rnacentral:tRNA from 1 species